AUGCAUGCCCUUAUCGGUAUGGUUCCUCUGGAGCCUCGGGAACCAGAAGAAGAAGACAAGAAGAAGGAAAGAGUCGCAGCCGGUGCUCCUUUCACGUGGAUUACAUCGAACUUUGGUACUUUCCCUGAGGAUGCUAAUGAGGACACGGUCAACACAUAUGCUCGUGUCUACAUGUGGUACGUGAUAUCCAGGACUAUGUUUGCUGAUGGCACAGGCAAGAAUGCUCCAUGGAUGUGGCUGAAGGCGUGGACUGUCUUUGAUAGCAAAUGGAGUUGGGGUUCGGCGACACUGUCUUACUUGUAUAGAUAG
rnacentral:rRNA from 1 species